AGCGCAGGCGGGAAGACAAGUUGGAAGUGAAAACCAUGGGCUCAACCCAUGAAUUGCUUUCAAAACUGUUUUUCUUGAGUAGUGCAGAGGUAGGUGGAAUUCCCGGUGUAGCGGUGGAAUGCGUAGAUAUCGGGAGGAACACCAGUGGCGAAGGCGGUCUACUGGGCACCAACUGACGCUGAGGCUCGAAAGCAUGGGUAGCAAACGA
rnacentral:rRNA from 1 species